UACGUAGGGGGCAAGCGUUGUCCGGAAUUAUUGGGCGUAAAGAGUGUGUAGGCGGUCCGGUAAGUCAGCUGUGAAAGUCAAGGGCUCAACCCUUGAAAGCCGGUUGAUACUGUCGGGCUAGAGUCCGGAAGAGGCGAGUGGAAUUCCCGGUGUAGCGGUGAAAUGCGCAGAUAUCGGGAGGAACACCAAUGGCGAAGGCAGCUCGCUGGGACGGUACUGACGCUGAGACGCGAAAGCGUGGGGAGCAAACAGG
rnacentral:rRNA from 1 species